AGGGGACUGGGUGCCACCAUCUUGCACUGUGGGCACUGCCACCUUUGUGAUGCAUGAGGGUCAAUUAGCAUAUUCCCUCUUUAUUAGAUAGGAUGUCAUUAUAGUGGCUCUAAAG